rnacentral:rRNA from 1 species
AGUUCGAUUCUGGCUCAGAUUGAACGCUGGCGGAUGCUUUACACAUGCAAGUCGAACGGCAGCACGGACUUCGGUCUGGUGGCGAGUGGCGAACGGGUGAGUAAUACUGAACGUGCUCAGUAAGUGGGGAUAACUACGCGAAAGCGUAGCUAAUACCGUAUACGCCCUUCGGGGAAAGCGGGGGACCUUCGGGCCUCGCACUAGAGCGGCCGAUAUCGGAUUAGCUAGCUGGUGGGGUAAUGGCCGACCAAGGCGACGAUCCGUAGCUGGUUUGAGAGGACGACCAGCCACACUGGGACUGAGACAUUGGUUCAGACUCCUACGGGAGGCAGCAGGGGGAAUUUUUGGACAAUGGGGGAAACCCUGAUCCAGCCAUCCUAUGUGCGAUGAAGGCCUUCGGGUUGUAAAGCACUUUCGGCAGGAAGAAAACGGCACGGGAUAUCACCCCGUGCAACUGACGGUACCGCAGAAUAAGCACCGGCUAACUACGUGCCAGCAGCCAGGUAAUACGUAGGGUGCAAGCGUUAAUCGGAAUUACUGGGCGUAAAGCGUGCGCAGGCGGCCUGGAAAGAAAGAUGUGAAAUCCCAGAGCUUAACUUUUUGGAACCGUAUUUAACUACCGAGCUAGGAGUGUGUCAGAGGAGGUGGAAUUCCAAGGCGUGUAGCAGUGAAAUGCGUAGAUAUGCGGAGGAACACCGAUGGCGAAGGCAGCCCCUGGGAUAACACUGACGCUCAUGCACGAAAGCGUGGGGAGCAAAAUGAUUAGAUACCCUGGUAGUCCACGCCCUAAACGAUGUCAACUUAGCUGUUGGGCCUCGGGCCUUGGUAGCGCAGCUAACGCGUGAAGUUGACCGCCUGGGGAGUACGGUCGCAAGAGAUUAAAACUCAAAGGAAUUGACGGGACCACGCGCGGUGGAUGAUGUGGAUUGUUCGAUGCACCGCGAAAACCUUACCUACCCUUGACAUGUCUGGAAUCCCGAAGAGAUUUGGGAGUGCUCGCAAGAGAACCGGAACACAGGUGCUGCAUGGCUGUCGUCAGCUCGUGUCGUGAGAUGUUGGGUUAAGUCCCGCAACGAGCGCAACCCUUGUCAUUAGUUGCUACGAAAGGGCACUCCCACGAGACUGCCGGUGACAAACCGGAGGAAGGUGGGGAUGACGUCAAGUUCCUAUGGCUCUUAUGGGUAGGGCUUCACACGUCAUACAAUGGUCGGGGACAGGGUCGCCAACCCGCGAGGGGGAGCCAAUCCCAGAAACCCGAUCGUAGUCCGGAUCGCAGUCUGCAACUCGACUGCGUGAAGUCGGAAUCGCUAGUAAUCGCGGAUCAGCAUGUCGCGGUGAAUACGUUCCCGGUCUUGUACACACCCUCGCCCGUCACACCAUGGGAGUGGGUUUUACCAGAAGUAGUUAGCCUAACCGUGUGAGUGGCGACGGUCACGGUAGGAUUCAGAUCAGCGCCAACAAGGUAA